GAAACUUGUCUUUGUUGUUCUCCUUUUUCCAUUUCAUCCUCCUGUUCUGGAACCAGAUUUUGACCUGCCUCUCUGUCAAUCCCAGGGCAUGCGAGACCUCGAUCCUCCGUUUGCGGGUCAGGCGCUCGCGGGGCUCCGUGAGCGAUAAAACGUCACAGGAAUUUCGGGAGGGAAUCGCAGGAAUCGCUCCUGGAAAAAGGAAACCCGAGCACAACUCUAAGGAAAGUGAGGGAAAAAAAACUUCCUAAAUCCCGGUGGCCGAUGGGGUCGCAAAACAUCGAGGAACUCGUGGAAAACGCGUCUGGAAAUGAAAAUAAAGAGGAUUUGGGCAAAUCCGAGCUCCGCUGGAGACGUGGAGGAUUCACCAAACCGAGCUGGAAAAAUCCCGCCCCGCUCGAGCAUCAUUUCCCACCCGUUUUAUGUCAUUGAAUCGCAGGUUUUUUAAAAAAUAAAUCGGCAUUUAGAGAAAUCUUCCUGCUGCCCGCAGCUCGAAACGCCUCAAAAAUGGAAUUUUUUUAGUUGGGAUUUUAAACCCAGAGCGAAGUUUGGUGGCGCUGAACUCCCGCCGGCAGCAGAAGGGUUAAAUUUGGAGCCCCCAGGAGCAGGAUGGAAAGUUUCACACGAGGAAAACCCAAAAAAUGAACCCAAAAACCCAAAAAAUGAACCCAAAAACCCGAACAGUUUUCUGGGGAAUUGUCUGAAACCCUCCAGCUCUGGUUUCUCUUCAAGGCGGGGAGAGAAUUUGGGGUUUUUUGGGGUUUUUUUGGGUUUUUUUGGGGGUUUUUUUGGGGUUUUUAACCCUUUUUGAGAGGGUUUGGAGCGGCGGAAAUUUCAGCGCAGCUCCGCGGGUUUUAUCUCGGGAUCGAGGAGGGAGGGGAAGGAAAAAAAUGCAGAAAAAAAACCCCAGAAAAAAGUGCAGGAGCGGUUUGCAAAAAUGCAAAUCCGCGAAUCCUCGCUAUCGCCGCCGCCAGAUUUGUGCUGGUUCCUCCUGAUAAACUGCAGGAAAAAAUGGGUUUUUUCUGCUUUUUUCUGCUUUUUUCUGCUUUUUUUUCUGCUUUUUUCUGCUUUUUUCCUGCUUUUUCCUGC